GACGAACGCUGGCGGCGUGCUUAACACAUGCAAGUCGAACGGAAAGGCCCUGCUUUUGUGGGGUGCUCGAGUGGCGAACGGGUGAGUAACACGUGAGUAACCUGCCCUUGACUUUGGGAUAACUUCAGGAAACUGGGGCUAAUACCGGAUAGGAGCUCCUGCUGCAUGGUGGGGGUUGGAAAGUUUCGGCGGUUGGGGCUGGACUCGCGGCUUAUCAGCUUGUUGGUGGGGGAGUGGCUUACCAAGGCUUUGAAGGGUAGCCCGCCUGAGAGGGUGACCGGCCACAUUGGGACUGAGAUACGGCGCAGACUCCUACGGGAGGCAGCAGUGGGGAAUAUUGCACAAUGGGCGGGAGCCUGAUGCAGCAACGCCGCGUGCGGGAUGACGGCCUUCGGGUUGUGAACCGCUUUCGCCUGUGACGAAGCGUGAGUGACGGUAAUGGGUAAAGAAGCACCGGCUAACUACGUG
rnacentral:rRNA from 1 species